rnacentral:rRNA from 1 species
UACGAAGGGGGCGAGCGUUGUUCGGAUUUACUGGGCGUAAAGGGCGCGCAGGCGGUUCUGUUUGUCGAGUGUGAAAGCCCCGGGCUCAACCUGGGAACUGCGCUCGAAACGGCGGAACUAGAGUUCGGGAGAGGAGAGUGGAAUUCCCAGUGUAGAGGUGAAAUUCGUAGAUAUUGGGAAGAACACCAGUGGCGAAGGCGGCUCACUGGUCCGGUACUGACGCUGAGGUGCGAAAGCGUGGGGAGCAAACAGG